GCGUAUUAGUUUUUGAUUCUUGGCUCAGGAUGCACCGCUGGCGGCGUGCCUAAUACAUGCAAGUCGAGCGAAUGGAUUAAGAGCUUGCUCUUAUGAAGUUAGCGGCGGACGGGUGAGUAACACGUGGGUAACCUGCCCAUAAGACUGGGAUAACUCCGGGAAACCGGGGCUAAUACCGGAUAACAUUUUGAACCGCAUGGUUCGAAAUUGAAAGGCGGCUUCGGCUGUCACUUAUGGAUGGACCCGCGUCGCAUUAGCUAGUUGGUGAGGUAACGGCUCACCAAGGCAACGAUGCGUAGCCGACCUGAGAGGGUGAUCGGCCACACUGGGACUGAGACACGGCCCAGACUCCUACGGGAGGCAGCAGUAGGGAAUCUUCCGCAAUGGACGAAAGUCUGACGGAGCAACGCCGCGUGAGUGAUGAAGGCUUUCGGGUCGUAAAACUCUGUUGUUAGGGAAGAACAAGUGCUAGUUGAAUAAGCUGGCACCUUGACGGUACCUAACCAGAAAGCCACGGCUAACUACGUGCCAGCAGCCGCGGUAAUACGUAGGUGGCAAGCGUUAUCCGGAAUUAUUGGGCGUAAAGCGCGCGCAGGUGGUUUCUUAAGUCUGAUGUGAAAGCCCACGGCUCAACCGUGGAGGGUCAUUGGAAACUGGGAGACUUGAGUGCAGAAGAGGAAAGUGGAAUUCCAUGUGUAGCGGUGAAAUGCGUAGAGAUAUGGAGGAACACCAGUG
rnacentral:rRNA from 1 species